CCUACGGGAGGCAGCAGUCGAGAAUCAUUCACAAUGGGGGAAACCCUGAUGGUGCGACGCCGCGUGGGGGAAUGAAGGUCUUCGGAUUGUAAACCCCUGUCAUGUGGGAGCAAAUUAAAAAGAUAGUACCACAAGAGGAAGAGACGGCUAACUCUGUGCCAGCCGCCGCGGUAAUACAGAGGUCUCAAGCGUUGUUCGGAAUCACUGGGCGUAAGGCGUGCGUAGGCUGUGUCGUAAGUCGUGUGUGAAAGGCGCGGGCUCAACCCGCGGACGGCACAUGAUACUGGGAGACUAGAGUAAUGGAGGGGGAACCGGAAUUCUCGGUGUAGCAGUGAAAUGCGUAGAUAUCGAGAGGAACACUCGUGGCGAAGGCGGGUUCCUGGACAUUAACUGACGCUGAGGCACGAAGGCCAGGGGAGCGAAAGGGAUUAGAUACCCGAGUAGUC
rnacentral:rRNA from 1 species